CAUUCUUAUCUUGAGGAACGCAUAAUAAUUGCUAACGGCUUGCCUGGCUCGCAUUACGAGCAUAAUAAAACUUAACAAUGACAUGCUGACUGGGAACGUGGUGGCAGUGGAAUUCGCAUUUCAAUUAUUCCCUAGGCUCGAAUCUAGAAAUUUAUCGAUCUAAUUUUACGAGUACCCGCUGUUGCGUUUGACUAAUUAUCAAGUGAUCAGAGCUGGAUGCUACAUUACCAUUUAAUGAUACAGAAAUUGAUUACUCGUUUGCAUCCAACUGCACUGACUUCAUCGUUGUGAAACGUUCAUUGUCAAAUGACGCUCGAUCGAUUGUCACGCAACGUAUAUAAAAUGUAAACAUUCUUCGCUCGCCCGAUAUUAUUCGAACGUGAAAAUAUUUUAUGGAUGGGAUAGGCACGCUCAAACCACAAGAGUGCAAAAACUGACGUUUGAUGGGAGGGUUAAAGCUCAUUGGAAGAAUCAGCGCGCGACAAAGUUGUAACCUUGGGCAAGUAGAUAGGAGAAGCAUAGAUACCAAAGAACCAUCUAAGACAGAAAUGCCGUAAAAUGUAACCUCGGCCAACUUAGACAUGGCCAUAAACGACGCCGUGGUAACCGUUGGUACGCUAAAGAGAACAAAGUGCAAAGAUAAGCUGUUGCAAUUGAAGAAAUGAGAAGGUUAGAGAUGUUUGCAACAAAGUGCACAGUCGAGGAUAGUAGUGUCCGUUUAGAAACUAGGAAAACUGCAAGCGACCCCUUUUUUUCCAUAGAUCUGUCGAAAGAGUGACCAAAAAGGACCACGGCCAUGGCAUUACGAGGCGUUUACGAGGGCAUUUACGAGCGACCGGCUGGAAAUUAUUCGGCCCGUUACCGGUCACAAUAGCGAGAUUAUGAGAGUUUUUAUAUCCUGCAACCCUCUCUCUUGCCUCUUCUCCAUCCUCUUUCUUCUUUCC